AAACGAUGCCGAUGUCGUGGUGCCGAAUAAUGGCGACGCGAAAGAGAAAUCGAGUAGGGCCCUGGGGAGAAUACACGCGCAAGCGAGAAAUUUAAAGGAAAUUUUAUUAAGAACACCACAAGGAGUGGAGUGUGCGGCUUAAUUUGACUCAACGCGGGACAACUAACUUACCGGGCCCGACGACCGUAUGAGUGUAACACACGAUAGGUCGAAGAGUGGUGCAUGGCCGUUAACGACGAGGGAGUGAUCUUUGGGUUAAGUCCGUAAAUUAGUGAGACCUCAGCCGUAAGGGACAGGUGCGCAAAGCACAGGAAGGAUGGGUCAAGGACAGGUCAGUGAUGCCCUUAGAUGGUCCGGGCUGCACGCGCACUACAGUGGUCGCCGAAAUUACCUGAUAAUUUUAAAGGCGAUCGAGAGGAAAUGAGCUUUGUAAGAGGCUCAGGAACGAGGAAUUGCUAGUAAUCGCGGACUCAUUAAGACGCGAUGAAUACGUCCCUGUUCUUUGUACACACCGCCCGUCGUUAUCGAAGAUGAAGAUAGGCGCGAACGAUCUACCAGAAAGUGAGCGCAGGUCUUUAGAUCUGAUACAAGUCGUAACAAGGUAGCUGUAGGAGAACCUGUAGCUGG
rnacentral:rRNA from 1 species